AGUGAACGCUGGCGGUAGGCCUAACACAUGCAAGUCGAACGGCGGCACAGUAAGAGCUUGCUCUUACGGGUGGCGAGUGGCGGACGGGUGAGGAAUACAUCGGAAUCUACUUUUUCGUGGGGGAUAACGUAGGGAAACUUACGCUAAUACCGCAUACGACCUACGGGUGAAAGCAGGGGAUCUUCGGACCUUGCGCGAUUGAAUGAGCGGAUGUCGGAUUAGCUAGUUGGCGGGGUAAAGGCCCACCAAGGCGACGAUCCGUAGCUGGUCUGAGAGGAUGAUCAGCCACACUGGAACUGAGACACGGUCCAGACUCCUACGGGAGGCAGCAGUGGGGAAUAUUGGACAAUGGGCGCAAGCCUGAUCCAGCCAUACCGCGUGGGUGAAGAAGGCCUUCGGGUUGUAAAGCCCUUUUGUUGGGAAAGAAAAGCAGCAGGUUAAUACCCCGCUGUUCUGACGGUACCCAAAGAAUAAGCACCGGCUAACUUCGUG
rnacentral:rRNA from 1 species